rnacentral:piRNA from 1 species
UGUAUUAUAAGGGAAAGCUAAAG